rnacentral:rRNA from 1 species
AGCGAAUGCUGGCGGCAGGCCUAACACAUGCAAGUCGAACGCACCUUCGGGUGAGUGGCGGACGGGUGAGUAACACGUGGGAACGUACCUUUUGGUUCGGAAUAACGCAGGGAAACUUGUGCUAAUACCGAAUGUGCCCUUCGGGGGAAAGAUUUAUCGCCAUUAGAGCGGCCCGCGUUAGAUUAGCUAGUUGGUGAGGU